UACGAAGGGGGCUAGCGUUGUUCGGAAUUACUGGGCGUAAAGCGCACGUAGGCGGAUAUUUAAGUCAGGGGUGAAAUCCCAGAGCUCAACUCUGGAACUGCCUUUGAUACUGGGUAUCUUGAGUAUGGAAGAGGUAAGUGGAAUUGCGAGUGUAGAGGUGAAAUUCGUAGAUAUUCGCAGGAACACCAGUGGCGAAGGCGGCUUACUGGUCCAUAACUGACGCUGAGGUGCGAAAGUGUGGGGAGCAAACAGG
rnacentral:rRNA from 1 species